CCUACGGGAGGCAGCAGUGAGGAAUAUUGGUCAAUGGGCGCGAGCCUGAACCAGCCAAGUCGCGUGAGGGAAGACGGUCCUAUGGAUUGUAAACCUCUUUUGUCGGGGAGCAAAAGACGCCACGCGUGGCGUUCCGAGAGUACCCGAAGAAAAAGCAUCGGCUAACUCCGUGCCAGCCGCCGCGGUAAUACGGAGGAUGCGAGCGUUAUCCGGAUUUAUUGGGUUUAAAGGGUGCGCAGGCGGAAGAUCAAGUCAGCGGUAAAAUUGAGAGGCUCAACCUCGUCGAGCCGUUGAAACUGGUUUUCUUGAGUGAGUGAGAAGUAUGCGGAAUGCGUGGUGUAGCGGUGAAAUGCAUAGAUAUCACGCAGAACUCCGAUUGCGAAGGCAGCAUACCGGCGCUCAACUGACGCUGAUGCACGAAAGUGUGGGUAUCGAACAGGAUUAGAUACCCUUGUAGUC
rnacentral:rRNA from 1 species